AUCAGCUGCGUCAUUUGGGUUUCUUCUGGACAUCCUCACGCUAUUAACCUCAACAUCCUCAUCAUCCUCAAAAUCUUCUAUGUCAUCCACGGUCAAUUCCCGAGUUUGUGAGGACUCAAAAGACUCUGAUCUAGAUACAUUUGUUUCAGUUAGCGAAGGUGUGGGCAUAGGUGGUGGUGCAAUUACUGCUGGAGGUGUAUAGACAGG
rnacentral:misc_RNA from 1 species